GACGACAAUACUUCAGAGAAUCAUUUCUAUAGUUUUUGUCCUCUUCACUGUUCUCUAAAACAGAAGCAGUACCCACCCGGGUUGAUGACUUAUAUCCUCAACUUGCCCACGUUUGUGAAACGAACAAAGCUUUGCUUUUGACCCUCGCACUGCCUGAAAAGGUGGCGGUUCAGGAAUUUUCCAGGACUGUAUUAGAGGGUGGUGAUGAGCUAUACCCCAGAUUUGGGUUUCUCCUAGUGAGAACUCUGCUGGGGUGGGUGUUGAUGGACGUCUGACCGGC
rnacentral:snoRNA from 1 species